rnacentral:misc_RNA from 1 species
GAUGAAGAACGCAGCGAAAUGCGAUAAGUAAUGCGAAUUGCAGAAUUCAGUGAAUCAUCGAGUCUUUGAACGCACAUUGCGCCCCCUGGUAUUCCGGGGGGCAUGCCUGUCCGAGCGUCAUUGCUGCCCUCAAGCACGGCUUGUGUGUUGGGCCGUCGUCCCCCUCCUAGGGGACGGGCCCGAAAGGCAGCGGCGGCACCGCGUCCGGUCCUCGAGCGUAUGGGGCUUCGUCACCCGCUCCGUAGGCCCGGCCGGCGCUUGCCGACGACCAUCAAUCUCUUUCUCCAGGUUGACCUCGGAUCAGGUAGGGAUACCCGCUGAACUUAAGCAUAUCAAUAAGCGGAGGA